rnacentral:lncRNA from 1 species
AAUAAAUCCCACAGAGAAAUAAGAACAAUAAAAAAAGAAUAAUAUAUAUGGAAAAUAUUAACACUGCAUAUACCCAUUGUUUUAACAAAUGUUCAUUCUCCCUUAUGAUGUUUUUCUAUAAUUUUUGCUAUAUAAUUGUCAUACAUGGAAGACUUUACUUCACUUACCUUAAUUUGUAAAACAAGAUUAACAUGUUUUCUGCCUCCUCAUUAUCGAGCUCAAAUGCCCGCUGUUUUUAGUGGAGAGAAAUUACAUUCUCUUGUAACAGAAUACAGCUUUAUUUUUUGAUCCUUGAAUAUUUGAGAGUUGCCUGGAAAAAGUGAAGUUUCUGUUCCUUUAACUUUGCCUGCUAUACUCUGAAAAUUGACUUCAUGUUCUAGAAAUAACUUUUAAAAAAUCUUCUUCCUUCUGAGUCCUUUUGCACUUUCAUUUUACUGUAAUAAUCUUUGUGGUUUCACCAGUAAGAAGCAGCCAUGUGUGGGUAAAUAUUCUUUAGAAUAUAGUAAGCAAUUUUGCUGUCCAAAAUUAACAUGGCAGAAUAAUGCAUUCAAUUGACUUAUUUCCUUAUUGUGUAUGAUUAUACAGACAUGAAAGAAUUUGUGGAAAAACCAAUUAUUCAUGUAAAGUUAUUAUCCUUAGGAAAUUCCCCUAAACAAUUCCUGUUUUCCUCUUCUGAUAAGAUUAUUUUUCAAGACUAUUUCACUAAGUGGAUAGAGACUACUUACCAUCAAGCCUUGUGUUACCUCUGAGGAAGCAUUCUAACUUAUUGGCCAAAAGACUGCAGCGAAUUUUGUUUUGGGAGACUUCUAAGGACACUAAAUUUGAGUUUGAUUCAUUUAUUUCCACUUCCACAGAGUUGCAAUCAAUUCUGUAAGUGAUUCAUAAGCCAACAAGCAGAACACAUUGAAAUGAUUUGUAGUUUGUAAGAAUAACAUUUAUCAAGUUCCUGCUUUUAUUUAAACCUGCAUUAUGGUUAUUAUUGGACAAAGAAGUACCCCUAUAUCGUCACGGAAUGUAAAGUGAACCACAAGAAAAUUUAAUAGAUGCAAUUUAGUAACAUGCUAAUGAAAUUUCUAAAUUUGGAAUAUAUCUUCAUCCUAUAUUUGGCUAUUUUUCUUUUGGUGGCCAGCUCAUAUGUACUUUGCCCAGUGUUCUUAGUUUUUUUCCGGACAACUCAAAUGUAACAUGUCUGAAGCAAAACCAAGAAUGGAUAUGGACUUUAAAUGCAACAGCUGAAUUAAAGUCACUGUUUACUCAUACACAAGCUGUAUGGCUUUUGGCUAGUUAAUACAUCUGAAGGCUUAGAUCAAAGGAGUAUAUUAACAGAUGCACCUCAAAAGGCUAUUGUGAGAAUUAAUAAGACCAAUGUGUACAAUGGUACAGUGCUGGCUGUUCAAAAAUGAUAUGUGCAUUUGCAUUCAACAAAUGAUAGCUCCUUUCACUUCCAUUUUCUACACUUGGCCAAGUUGUUCAUCAAUUUCCAAUGAAAAAUAAUUUGAAUCAAUUCCAGAGUUGGGGAAUAAUCCUACAACUUCCCUUCCCUCAUUCUCCUAUAUCAAUUAAUUCACAGAGAUUUGCUUCCCUGCCUCAUAUUAUUUCUAGAGUUGGUCUUUUCUCCAUCUCUCAUAUUACUAAAGAGCCUCUUCCAACUGGACAUUUCACUAGUCUUUACCUGGUUCCCUAUAUCCAUUUUUGUUACUGUCUUCUGCCUAUCCAUUUUCUGAGCUUUUUUUGCUGUUAUUUUUCUAACUUCUAAAGACAGAUGCUUAGCUCAAUAAAUACUAGCCACUUUUAUUUUCUAAUGUACUCUUUUAAGGCUGUAAAAUGAUAGGUAUUGUUUUAACUGCACCCCAGAAGUUUUGAUAGGUAGUGAUUAUUGAUUCUACAUAUUUUAAAUUUUUCAGUGUUUCUUAACUUCAGAAAUACAGAAUUUAUUUUGCUAUCUUUUGUGAUUUUUUUCCAUUUUAAUGUUGCUGAUAGUAGAAAAAAAACUCUCUGAUUCCUUUUCUUUGAAAUAUGUCUUGUUUUAUUGUCCAGUCUGCAGUUCAUUUUUAUAAAUGUUCUAUCUGGGCUAAACAAAAUAAAUCUACCCUGUUGUAAUAUGUUUAGUGUUCUAUAUGUUAUGUCCAUUAAAUAUGGCUUAUUGUUUCAUUCAAAUAUUCUAUAAUUUACUGAUUUAUCUGCUUAAUGUAUUAGUUACUUAUGCAAACAUAUUUAUAUACUCAGCACUUAUAUAGCAAAAAAUCACAGAACAAGGAGAAAUCAACAUGCCUGUUAAAAAUCUCCCACUAUUUUACAUAACCACAUUUUUGUAAUAGUAAAUUCUUCUUGGUGAAUUGAACUUCCAAUUUUGAUAAAGUUAUCUUCAUUUCUAUGAAUAUAUUUGCCUCAAAGUUUAUUUAAUCUGAUAUUUACAUAUUUUUUUCUAGUUUUCUUUUGGUUCACAUUUGACUAAAAUAUCAUUUCCAUUCUUUUACAUGUAACCAUUCUUUAUCCUUUUUGUUUUGUUUUGAUUUUGUAUGGAG